AGAGUUUGAUCCUGGUUCAGGAUGAACGCUAGCGGCAGGCCUAAUACAUGCAAGUCGAACGGUGUAGCAAUACAUAGUGGCGGACGGGUGCGGAACACGUAUACAACUUACCCACGAGUGGGGGAUACCUAUUGGAAACGAUAGUUAAUCCCGCAUAAUACAGUAAAUACAUAGGUAUUAAUUGUCAAAGGAUUUAUUCGCUUGUGGAUGGGUAUGCGUCUGAUUAGUUAGCUGGCAGGGUAACGGCCUACCAAGACGAUGAUCAGUAACUGGUCUGAGAGGAUGAUCAGUCACACGGGCACUGAGACACAGGCCCGACUCCUACGGGAGGCAGCAGUAGGGAAUAUUGGGCAAUGGGCGCAAGCCUGACCCAGCCAUGCCGCGUGAAGGCAGAAGGCGCUUCGCGUUGUAAACUUCUUUUGUCGGAGAAUAAGGUUCCCAUAACUUGGGAAAUUGAAUGUAUCUGACGAAUAAGCACCGGCAAACUACGUGCCAGCAGCCGCGGUAAUACGUAGGGUGCAAGCGCUGUCCGGAUUUACUGGGUUUAAAGGGUGCGUAGGCGGUUUAAUAAGUCGGUGAUGAAAUGCAGGAGCUUAACUCUAUGCGCUGUUACCGAUACUGUUAGACUUGAGGAUGUUCGAGGUAGCUGGAAUGAGUGGUGUAGCGGUGAAAUGCGUAGAGAUCACUCAGAACACCAAUUGCGAAGGCAGGUUACUAGGACAUAUCUGACGCUGAGGCACGAAAGCGUGGGGAUCAAACAGGAUUAGAUACCCUGGUAGUCCACGCUGUAAACGAUGGAUACUCGUUAUUGGGGUUUCGGCUUCAGUGACUAAGCAAAAGUGAUAAGUAUCCCACCUGGGGAGUACGCUCGCAAGGGUGAAACUCAAAGGAAUUGACGGGGGCCCGCACAAGCGGUGGAGCAUGUGGUUUAACUCGAUGGUACGCGAGGAACCUUACCUAGACUCGAAUGGUGUAUGAACGUCUCAGAAAUGGGAUUUCCAGCAAUGGUAUAUAUCAAGGUGCUGCAUGGUUGUCGUCAGCUCGUGCCGUGAGGUGUUGGGUUAAGUCCCGCAACGAGCGCAACCCCUGUCGGUAGUUGCUAACAUUAAGUUGAGGACUCUACUGAGACCGCCCUCGUAAGGGGAAGGAAGGGGGGGACGACGUCAAAUCAUCAUGGCCCUUACGUCUAGGGCUACACACGUGCUACAAUGGUCGGUACAGAGGGUCGCUACACAGUGAUGUGAUGCUAAUCUCAAAAAGCCGAUCUCAGUUCGGAUUGGAGUCUGCAACUCGACUCCAUGAAGUUGGAAUCGCUAGUAAUCGCAUAUCAGCCAUGAUGCGGUGAAUACGUUCCCGGGCCUUGUACACACCGCCCGUCAAGCCAUGGAAGCUGAGGGCGCCUAAAGUAGGAGGUUCAAAUCUCUUCCUAGGGCGAAAUCGGUAACCAGGGCUAAGUCGGAACAAGGUA
rnacentral:rRNA from 1 species